rnacentral:rRNA from 1 species
CCUACGGGAGGCUGCAGUGGGGAAUAUUGGGCAAUGGGCGCAAGCCUGACCCAGCAACGCCGCGUGAAGGAAGAAGGCUUUCGGGUUGUAAACUUCUUUUAAGAGGGAAGAGCAGAAGACGGUACCCCUUGAAUAAGCCACGGCUAACUACGUGCCAGCAGCCGCGGUAAUACGUAGGUGGCAAGCGUUGUCCGGAUUUACUGGGUGUAAAGGGCGUGCAGCCGGAGAGACAAGUCAGAUGUGAAAUCCACGGGCUCAACCCGUGAACUGCAUUUGAAACUGUUUCCCUUGAGUGUCGGAGAGGUAAUCGGAAUUCCUAGUGUAGCGGUGAAAUGCGUAGAUAGUAGGAAGAACACCAGUGGCGAAGGCGGAUUACUGGACGAUAACUGACGGUGAGGCGCGAAAGCGUGGGGAGCAAACAGGAUUAGAUACCCUAGUAGUC